rnacentral:rRNA from 1 species
AAGGAAUUUUCGUCAAUGGGCGCAAGCCUGAACGAGCAACGCCGCGUGGUGGAUGACGGCCUUCGGGUUGUAAACACCUUUUGGAGGGGACGAUAAUGACGGUACCCUCCCAACAAGCCCCGGCUAACUCUGUGCCAGCAGCCGCGGUAAGACAGAGGGGGCAAGCGUUGUCCGGAAUUACUGGGCGUACAGGGCACGCAGGUGGCCGUACAGGUGGCGUGUGAAAGCCCCGCGCUUAACGCGGGGAGUGCAGGCCAAACGGUGCGGCUCGAGCGAUGCAGAGGGUGGGGGAAUUGCCGGUGUAGUGGUGAAAUGCGUAGAGAUCGGCAGGAACACCAAAGACGAAGGUACCCACCUGGGCAUCAGCUGACACUCAGGUGCGACAGCGUGGGGAGCGAAC